GAUGAACGCUGGCGGCAGGCUUAACACAUGCAAGUCGAACGGAAAGGGCCUGCUUUUGUGGGGUUCUCGAGUGGCGAACGGGUGAGUAACACGGGAGUAACCUUCCCAUGACUGUGUGACAUCUUCAGAAAAGUGCGGCUAAUACCGGAGAGCAGCGCGUGCUGCAUGGUGGGCGUUGGAAAGUUUCGGCGGUUGUGGAUGGACUCGCGGCUUAUGAGCUUGUUGGGGGGGUAGUGGCUUACCCGGGCUUCGACGGGUAGCCGGCCUGAGAGGGUGACCGGCCACAUUGGGACUGAGAUACGGCCCAGACGCGUACGGGAGACAGCAGUGGGGAAUAUUGCACAAUGGGCCGAAGUCUGAUGCAGAAGCGCCGCGUGCGGGAUGACGGCCUUCGGGUUGUAAACCGCAUUCGCCUGUGACGAUGCGUGUGUGACGGUAACGGCUGAAGAAGCACCGGCUAACUACGUG
rnacentral:rRNA from 1 species